GACGAACGCUGGCGGCGUGCCUAAUACAUGCAAGUAGGACGCAGUUUCGAACGGGUGAGUAACGCGUAGGUAACUGCCUCUUAGAGGGGGGUAACUCUUGGAGACGAUAGCUAAUACCGCAUACUAGUAGAUGGACCUGCGUUGUAUUAGUUAGGUGGUAGGGUAAUGGCCUACCUAGGCGCAGGUACAUAGCCGGCCUGGGAGGGUGGUCGGCCAAACUGGGAACUGGACACGGGCCAGAAGUCUACGGGGAGCAACAGGUAGGAAUUUUCGGGAAAGGGGGGAAACCCUGACGGGCAAAGGCCGCGGAGGGAAGAAGGUUUUUGGAUCGGAAAGAUUCGUUGUUUAGGAAGCGGUACUUAACCAGAAAGGGACGGCUAACUACGUGCCAGCAGCCGCGGUAAUAC
rnacentral:rRNA from 1 species